rnacentral:lncRNA from 1 species
UUGACAACAUCAUUACACAGUGAUUGGGUGAAGUAGUAAGUAGCAAGGAACAUGAUCAGAGGAUUUCUCUUUCUCUCUUUCGUGGUUUCCACGGCAGCUUUCAGUGUUUUGAAAGAUGCCGUGUAUCAUUGUGCAAAUGGUCAAGAAACAACUCAGUCCAGUGAUGGGUGAGUGUGAUUAAGAGUGACAUAAUACCAUUGUUCUGAGAAAUAGGCAAUUCCAUUGUAAUAUUCGUUCUAUACCUGUACUAUCCUGGUUUCUCUUCUUAGCUUUGCAAAAUUCUUGGGGUGCGACCUGAAGAAUGAUUAUUUCAUCUUCGCAGGUUAAGUACACUCAAGUUGUGCAUUUUUCAGUAUCAGAUGAUCAUAACUUCCUUGCUUGUACAGAACACAUUUAACCUUUUGACUCAUUGUGCUGCAGAGGACAACUUAAAGGGCUCCCAACCAUUGGGGCCAAUGGUGAAUUAACUGUCCACAUGUGUUCGUCACGAAAGCUGGAUCAAAUGAGAAUUCUACAAAAAUGAUAAUUGUGAUAACUGAUGGACGUAUAUUUAUGGACUGGAUGAAUCUGAAAGAGGUUUUGCAAAACCCAAAAAUGAACAAUAUCACCCGCUUUGCUAUUGGGGUGGGGCCUGAUGUACUGAAGAAUGGCAUAGCACUGAAAGAGAUGAGGCAGAUAGCCUCAGACCCAGAUGAUGAACACUUUUUUGAAGUUUAAGAGUAUAAAGCGUUGGAAGCCAUUCUGUACUCAUUACAGUUGGCCAUCACUGAAACAGAUCCGGCAUCUUCCACCUCACAGAUGACACUGGAAUAGAUGGUACGUCUUAUUUUGCUCUGAUCAGUAUUUUACAGAUUUGAAAAUUGAACCAUGAAAACCUAAGCAAUCUUUUUAAUGUAUAGAUUUUACAAUUUUCCAAUGCAACUUUUUUCCCUUUCAGAUGGUGGCAAUGAUUAUGAUGAUGAUGAUGAUGAUGGUGGUGAUGAUGAUGAAGAGAAGGACAUUUGGUUCCAGUACCUUUGCAUACUCGGUCACAAGUAACCAGAUCCUUGGCAACAGUGAAAUGUUUUUUUAAAACAUAAUUGUUUUUCCAGUGAUAAGGCUUUGGUUGGUCACACAUCCAAUCUCUCUUUCUCAUUUUGGUGCCACCAGAUUAUUCAAGUUGCUGAUUACAUAUCUGAUUAUCUGAAAUAUUCAAUGCAUAAUUUACAGAGUUUUAUUUUAAUCUCUUUCUUAAAUAGUUUUUAAGCAAUGUUGUGUAUUACAUUAUAACAUGUCAGCUUUAAUGUAACUUCUCUAGCGUCUACAUUACCUGCCCCUUUACAUACUUGUUACACACAGUCUUAAGCCAUGAAUACUGAGGGUGACGCCCUUGUUUCUCAGAGAGCAUUUAACAAGCAAGCCUUCAAUGGAUAAAUCAGAUAAUCUUAGGUGAAGCUCUGGGCGAGUGGAACCCAGGCUCUUUUUCACAAUGGUUGGCCACCGUUGUUCAAGAUUAAAACCUGUUUCAUUGACUGACAAAUCCAAGACUGGGUCUCCAAUGGUAUACAAUUAAAUACUGUCAGUGUUCAUGUAAUCCAGUGUCACAAUGCCCUUCUGGGUUCUGCUCCUUCAACUCAAGAUAUAACCGUUAUUACACACUCUGUCUAUGCCAUGUGAUAUUACAUCACGCCACAGUUGUGAAGCUUCCAGGCCAGCUUGCUCUGUAUACUACUGGUAUAUCAUUUGUGCUUUCUGUAUUUUAUGAAUUGUUAGUUUAAAGAAACUUGAAGAUUACUUUUCCAAUAAAUGUUUUGGCAUUCAGCA